UACGUAGGGCGCAAGCGUUGUCCGGAAUUAUUGGGCGUAAAGAGCGUGUAGGCGGCCAGGUAGGUCUGCUGUGAAAACUCGAGGCUCAACCUCGAGACGUCGGUUGAAACCAUCUGGCUAGAGUCCGGAAGAGGAGUGUGGAAUUCCCGGUGUAGCGGUGAAAUGCGCAGAUAUCGGGAGGAAGACCGGUGGCGAAGGCGGCCUGCUGGGCAGUUACUGGCACUGAUGCGCGACAGCGUGGGGAGCAAACAGG
rnacentral:rRNA from 1 species